rnacentral:rRNA from 1 species
CAGUAGCCGCGGUAAUACGUAGGUGGCAAGCGUUGUCCGGAAUUAUUGGGCGUAAAGGGCUCGCAGGCGGUUUCUUAAGUCUGAUGUGAAAGCCCCCGGCUCAACCGGGGAGGGUCAUUGGAAACUGGGAAACUUGAGUGCAGAAGAGGAGAGUGGAAUUCCACGUGUAGCGGUGAAAUGCGUAGAGAUGUGGAGGAACAUCAGUGGCGAAGGCGACUCUCUGGUCUGUAACUGACGCUGAGGAGCGAAAGCGUGGGGAGCGAACAGGAUUAGAUACCCCAGUAGUCCCUGUCUCUUAUAC